rnacentral:rRNA from 1 species
AUUGAACGCUGGCGGCAGGCUUAACACAUGCAAGUCGAGCGAGCGGCGGACGGGUGAGUAAUGUCUGUGAAACUGCCUGCUGGUGGGGGAUAACUAAUGGAAACGGUAGCUACUACCGCAUACCAUCAGAGCUGCCCAUAUGUGAUUAGCUAGUAGGUGGGGUAAUGGCUCACCCAGGCGCCGAUCACUAGCUGGUCUGAGAGGAUGAUCAGCCACACUGGAACGUAGACACGGUCCAGACUCCUACGGGAGGCAGCAGUGGGGAAUAUUGCACAAUGGGCGAAAGCCUGAUGCAGCCAUGCCGCGUGUGUGAAGAAGGCCUUCGGGUUGUAAAGCACUUUCAGCGAGGAGGCGUUACUCGCAGAAGAAGCACCGGCUAACUCCGUGCCAGCAGCCGCGGUAAUAC